CUGGCUCAGAUUGAACGCUGGCGGCAUGCCUUACACAUGCAAGUCGAACGGCAGCGCGGGGCAACCUGGCGGCGAGUGGCGAACGGGUGAGUAAUAUAUCGGAACGUACCCUGGAGUGGGGGAUAACGUAGCGAAAGUUACGCUAAUACCGCAUACGAUCUAAGGAUGAAAGUGGGGGAUCGCAAGACCUCAUGCUCCUGGAGCGGCCGAUAUCUGAUUAGCUAGUUGGUGGGGUAAAGGCCUACCAAGGCAUCGAUCAGUAGCUGGUCUGAGAGGACGACCAGCCACACUGGAANUGAGACACGGUCCAGACUCCUACGGGAGGCAGCAGUGGGGAAUUUUGGACAAUGGGCGAAAGCCUGAUCCAGCAAUGCCGCGUGAGUGAAGAAGGCCUUCGGGUUGUAAAGCUCUUUUGUCAGGGAAGAAACGGUGAGGGCUAAUAUCUCUUGCUAAUGACGGUACC
rnacentral:rRNA from 1 species